GACGAACGCUGGCGGCGUGCUUAACACAUGCAAGUCGAACGGUAAGGCCCUUCGGGGUACACGAGUGGCGAACGGGUGAGUAACACGUGGGUGAUCUGCCCUGCGCUUCGGGAUAAGCCUGGGAAACUGGGUCUAAUACCGGAUAGGACUCCUGGCUUCAUGGUUGGGGGUGGAAAGCUUUUGCGGUGUGGGAUGGGCCCGCGGCCUAUCAGCUUGUUGGUGGGGUAAUGGCCUACCAAGGCGACGACGGGUAGCCGGCCUGGGAGGGUGGCCGGACACAGUGGGACUGAGAUACGGCCCAGACUCCUACGGGAGGCAGCAGUGGGGAAUAGUGCACAAUGGGCGCAAGCCUGAUGCAGCGACGCGGCGUGAGGGAUGACGGCCUUCGGGUUGUAAACCUCUUUCAGCUAUGACGAAGCGCAAGUGACGGUAGUAGCAGAAGAAGGACCGGCCAACUACAUGCCAGCCGCCGCCGUAA
rnacentral:rRNA from 1 species